GCAGUCGACGAUGAAGUGGAGCUUGCUCCACGGAUUAGUGGCGAACGGGUGAGGAACACGUGAGAAACCUGCCUCGGAUUUUGGGAUAACAAAUGGAAACGUUUGCUAAUACCAAAUAACGUCGGAGAGUCACAUGACUUUCUGACGAAAGGAAUUCCGAUUCGAGAGGGUCUCGCGGCCUAUCAGCUUGUUGGCGGGGUAAUGGCCCACCAAGGCAACGACGGGUAGCUGGUCUGAGAGGAUGGUCAGCCACACUGGGACUGAGACACGGCCCAGACUCCUACGGGAGGCAGCAGUGGGGAAUCUUGCGCAAUGGGCGAAAGCCUGACGCAGCAACGCCGCGUGCGGGAAGAAGGCCUUCGGGCUGUAAACCGCUUUCAGCAGGAACGAAAAUGACGGUACCUGCAGAAGAAGGAGCGGCCAACUAUGUGCCAGCAGCCGCGGUGAUACAUAGGCUUCAAGCGUUGUCCGGAUUUAUUGGGCGUAAAGAGUUCGUAGGCGGUCGAGUAAGUCGGGUGUGAAAAUUCUGGGCUCAACCCAGAGACGCCACCCGAUACUGCUUAACUUGAGUU
rnacentral:rRNA from 1 species